rnacentral:rRNA from 1 species
ACGAACGCUGGCGGCGUGCUUAACACAUGCAAGUCGAACGAAGAGCGAUGGAAGCUUGCUUCUAUCAAUCUUAGUGGCGAACGGGUGAGUAACGCGUAAUCAACCUGCCCUUCAGAGGGGGACAACAGUUGGAAACGACUGCUAAUACCGCAUACGAUCUAAUCUCGGCAUCGAGGAUAGAUGAAAGGUGGCCUCUACAUGUAAGCUAUCACUGAAGGAGGGGAUUGCGUCUGAUUAGCUAGUUGGAGGGGUAACGGCCCACCAAGGCGAUGAUCAGUAGCCGGUCUGAGAGGAUGAACGGCCACAUUGGGACUGAGACACGGCCCAGACUCCUACGGGAGGCAGCAGUGGGGAAUCUUCCGCAAUGGACGAAAGUCUGACGGAGCAACGCCGCGUGAGUGAUGACGGCCUUCGGGUUGUAAAGCUCUGUUAAUCGGGACGAAAGGCCUUCUUGCGAAUAGGGAGAAGGAUUGACGGUACCGGAAUAGAAAGCCACGGCUAACUACGUG